UGGAAAAAUUCUCCGGAGGAAUAAUACACACUGGAAUUCAUCAAUGGAAACGGUUAAACGCAAUUUGUUAGCAAACAUCAAAAUUAACAUUAAAAUUCUUUAAAGAUGUAUUUUUUCAUGUUACAAAACACCCGCUAAUUAUACCAUAUCCUCUAUGUGCGAAUUCAUUGAAUAUUUAAAUGAAUUUAAGAAAUAUUUAACGAAUGAUAAUUUCUAACGUGCGUAUUUUAUGUUAAUUAACGGAUAUACGUAACAUUGUUUCAUAGAAGACCUAAUAAUCGUGAGAAACUGUAAAAUGAGUCAAUCGGUUAAAAUCAGUGAACAGAUCCUACUGCGCAUGUCAUAAAAGUUACAAAACAUGUUUAUUUUGCCCUUGUUUAUAUAGAACAGUUAGUUUGUUUUUAAAUGUUACUGACGUCGAUAAUGAUAAACUCUUUUCAUUAGUGGUAUUACUGUGCGGACUUGACAUUUCUUUAGUCAUUGUAUCGCGAGUUGUUUCUCAUAUUCAUACGCACAGAGAAAAUUUUCAACGAAAGCGUAUCGCAAUGAAGUUCCUGGAUUCUAAUCUCGAGAUUGAAUUUGUUCAAGUGAAACUAGCGAAAAUACGAAGAAAAAUAUUUUUAUCGACUGCAGUCUGGAUACAUGGAGAAACCUUUCCGUCUAAUCUCGAUCACAAUGCUGUUGGACAGGAAAACUUACAGUCGGAUAAAUCCAAGAUAAAAUCCUUUAUUGGGAUUUAAAGCGAAAUUCUCUUACAGAUUAUCAGAUUUCCACAUUUCAUCCACGCGAGUCUGCACGUGAUUCACAAAUUUCCGAUUCCUGUUAAAGCACGCGACGAACGAUCGUAUUAUUACGGCAUCUGGAAGUACACCUCCAAUGACAAUUGAAUUAAGUCAUGAUCCACGAUCAUGAGUAAUAUCAAUUAAAGUAGAUCGUCGUGCAUGAUGUGCCAAUUUUGGGCAAGCAAAUUCAAAUGGUCUUGUAUUUGUUAGAUGUAUCGUCAUAAUUCUAAAACUUCUAUAAAAGGAAGUGAUUCCAUCAUAAAUAAAUGAAGUUCUUGUUUUUUGUAUAAUAU
rnacentral:misc_RNA from 1 species